rnacentral:rRNA from 1 species
UACGUAGGGUCCGAGCGUUGUCCGGAAUCACUGGGCGUAAAGGGCGCGUAGGCGGCUCAUGAAGGCUGUGGUGAAAGUCCGGGGCUCAACCUCGGAUCGGCCGUGGCGACUCGUGGGCUGGAGCACUGUAGAGGCGGGUGGAAUUCCGGGUGUAGCGGUGGAAUGCGUAGAGAUCCGGAAGAACACCGGUGGCGAAGGCGGCCUGCUGGGCAGUAGCUGACGCUGAUGCGCGACAGCGUGGGGAGCAAACAGG